rnacentral:rRNA from 2 species
AGCUCCAAUAGCGUAUAUUAAAGUUGUUGCAGUUAAAAAGCUCGUAGUUGGAUUUCUGGUAUGGUGCGCCUGGCCCACGGUUGCAAAACCGCGAGUGUCGGUGUGCGCCUGCCAUCUUUCUAGUUAACUGGACGCACUUAACUGGGCGGUCAGCGAUCUAGAUCUUUUACUUUGAAAAAAUUAGAGUGUUUAAAGCAGGCUUGCGCUAUGAAUACAUUAGCAUGGAAUAAUAAUUUAGGACUUUAUUCCUAUUUAUUGGUUUCUGGAGUAGAGUAAUGAUUGAUAGGGAUAGUUGGGGGUGCUAGUAUUCAUCGGCCAGAGGUGAAAUUCUUGGAUUCGAUGAAGACUAACUAAUGCGAAAGCAUUCACCAAGGAUGUCUUCU